AGUGAACGCUGGCGGUAUGCCUAACACAUGCAAGUCGAACGCCAGCACAUUAAGAGCUUGCUCUUACGGGUGGCGAGUGACGGACGGUUUCUGCAUACCUCUGAAUCUACUUUUUCGUGGGGGAUAACUUAGGGCAACUUCCGCUACUCCCUCAUACGACCUACGGGUGAAUGCACGGGAUCUUCGGCCCUUGCCCGAUUGAAUGAUCCGAUGUCGGAUUAGCUAGUUGGCGGGGUAAAGGCCCCCCAAGGCGACGAUCCGUAGCUGGUCCGAGAGGAUGAUCAGGCACACUGGAACUGAGAAACGGUACAGACACUGACGGGAGGAAGCAGUGGGGAAUAUUGGACAAUGGGCGAAAGACGGAUGUAGCCAAACCGCGUGAGUGAUGAAGGACUUAGGGUUGGAAAACGAUGUUGUUGGGAAAGAAAAGAAGCAGGUUAAGAGCCGAUUGUUCUGACGGUACCCAAAGAAUAAGCCCCGGCUAACUUCGUG
rnacentral:rRNA from 1 species